GACGAACGCUGGCGGCGUGCUUAACACAUGCAAGUCGAGCGGUAAGGCCCUUUCGGGGUACACGAGCGGCGAACGGGUGAGUAACACGUGGGUGACCUGCCCUUAGCUCUGGGAUAAGCCUGGGAAACUGGGUCUAAUACCGGAUAUGACUCCAUAACGCAUGUUGUGGGGUGAAAGCCUUGUGCGGCUAGGGAUGGGCCCGCGGCCUAUCAGCUUGUUGGUGGGUGAUGGCCACCAAGGCGACGACGGGUAGCCGGCCUGAGAGGGCGACCGGCCACACUGGGACUGAGACACGGCCCAGACUCCUACGGGAGGCAGCAGUGGGGAAUCUUGCGCAAUGGCGAAAGCCUGACGCAGCGACGCCGCGUGGGGAUGAC
rnacentral:rRNA from 1 species